rnacentral:rRNA from 1 species
UGGGGAAUUUUGGACAAUGGGGGAAACCCUGAUCCAGCCAUCCCGCGUGUGCGAUGAAGGCCUUCGGGUUGUAAAGCACUUUUGGCAGGAAAGAAACGUCAUGGGUUAAUACCCCGUGAAACUGACGGUACCUGCAGAAUAAGCACCGGCUAACUACGUGCCAGCAGCCGCGGUAAUACGUAGGGUGCAAGCGUUAAUCGGAAUUACUGGGCGUAAAGCGUGCGCAGGCGGUUCGGAAAGAAAGAUGUGAAAUCCCAGAGCUCAACUUUGGAACUGCAUUUUUAACUACCGGGCUAGAGUGUGUCAGAGGGAGGUGGAAUUCCGCGUGUAGCAGUGAAAUGCGUAGAUAUGCGGAGGAACACCGAUGGCGAAGGCAGCCUCCUGGGAUAACAAUGACGCUCAUGCACGAAAGCGUGGGGAGCAAACAUG